UUCCGAGACAGGUGCUGCAUGGCUGUCGUCAGCUCGUGCCGUGAGGUGUUGGGUUAAGUCCCGCAACGAGCGCAACCCUAUUGCCAGUUGCUACCAGGUAAUGCUGGGCACUCUGGUGAGACUGCCCCGGUUAACGGGGAGGAAGGUGGGGACGACGUCAAGUCAUCAUGGCCCUUACGCCUAGGGCUACACACGUACUACAAUGGCGCAUACAAAGGGCAGCGAUACCGCGAGGUGGAGCCAAUCCCAAAAAGUGCGUCCCAGUCCGGAUUGCAGUCUGCAACUCGACUGCAUGAAGUUGGAAUCGCUAGUAAUUCGAGAUCAGCAUGCUCGGGUGAAUGCGUUCCCGGGCCUU
rnacentral:rRNA from 1 species